GAUGAACGCUGGCGGCGGGCCUAAUACAUGCAAGUCGAGCGAACAGACGAUGAGCUUUCUCCCCUAACGUUAGCGACUGACGGGUGAGUGACGCGUAGAUAACCUUCUUCUUUUACGUGGGGGAUAUCGUGAGACCGCUUCUAAUACUAGAUAAUAUAUUCAACGGGAUGGUGCAAUAGUGAUUCGGGCUUUUCCUGUCACAUAGAGAUGAUGCCGCGUCGGAUUAGCUAGUUGGUAAGGUAACGGCUUACCAAGGCAACGAUGCGUAGCCGAGCUGAGAGGGUGAUCAGCCACACUGGAACUGAGACACGGUCCAGACUCCUACGGGAGGCAGCAGUAGGGAAUAUUCCGCAAUGGGCGAAAGCCUGACGGAGCAACGCCGCGUGAGUGAUGAAGGUCUUCGGAUCGUAAAGCUCUGUUAUUAGGGAAGAACAAAUGUGUAAGUAAAUAUGCACGUCUUGACGGUACCUAAUGAGAAAGCCACGGCUAACUACGUG
rnacentral:rRNA from 1 species